rnacentral:misc_RNA from 1 species
GAUGAAGAACGUAGCGAAAUGCGAUAAGUAAUGUGAAUUGCAGAAUUCAGUGAAUCAUCGAAUCUUUGAACGCACAUUGCGCCCGCCAGUAUUCUGGCGGGCAUGCCUGUUCGAGCGUCAUUUCAACCAUCAAGCCCCCGGCUUGUGUUGGGGACCUGCGGCUGCCGCAGGCCCUGAAAACCAGUGGCGGGCUCGCUAUCACACCGAGUGCAGUAGUUUACUCUUCGCUCAGGACGUGUAGCGGGUUCCGGCCGUGAAACCCCCCAAUUUUCAAGGUUGACCUCGGAUCAGGUAGGAAUACCCGCUGAACUUAAGCAUAUCAAUAAGCGGAGGA